UACGUAGGGUGCGAGCGUUGUCCGGAAUUAUUGGGCGUAAAGGGCUCGUAGGCGGUCUGUUGCGUCAGGAGUGAAAACUCGGGGCUUAACCCCCGAGCCUGCUUCUGAUACGGGCAGACUAGAGGUAUGCAGGGGAGAACGGAAUUCCUGGUGUAGCGGUGAAAUGCGCAGAUAUCAGGAGGAACACCGGUGGCGAAGGCGGUUCUCUGGGCAUUACCUGACGCUGAGACGCGAAAGCGUGGGGAGCGAACAGG
rnacentral:rRNA from 1 species